GGCUUAUCUCAGAGUUUGACAGGUAAAUGUAAGGAGUUUUGGACAUAGAAAUCCUCUUGAAGAGUACAAAAUUGAUGGUUGUCGGUUUUUCAUCUCAAUGCUUAGUGCAACUCGAAGGUUAACUGUGGAGUCACUGCUGCAAUAUUGGGCAUCUCCAAUGGAAUCCCAAGAACUAUUUGAUUUCUAGCUGUUCGAUGCUUCUGAACUGGAGGAGCCUAUUAGUGUCUCGGCGACAUUUUUUUCUGCUGGUUCUGUCGUCCUUCACCUUCAGCAUGAACGAACUCCAUAAUAUGGGGGCAGCGCGGGGCUAUGUUCUUACUCCUUUACCUUCCUUGAUGCGCUGACAGAGAGUCAAGACUCAAGAUGAUGAUUUUGACAUGGUUCCUUUUUAACAGCAAGAUUAAGGGGUAGAUGACGAUCUUUGCCUAUUUCAUAGUUUUCCCUGGAUAUAAUGGUUUUUCUUUUUGUUGCUUCCUGUAAGCGAAGUUUGAUCAUUAGCAUUUUUUUUCAGUAGCUGAUAUAUGUACAUGCUAUAUAAUUAUAUAGUAUCAUGAAUGCUUGGCAUGGUCUGUCCGGGCGAAGGGAGGGCCAAAAGUGGGCCAUAAAUGAUCCGGCAUUCUGACAAUUGUCUGAGCUUAUUUUUGUCAUUGGCGUUUGUACGGUUAGCGUGUAAGAUAUGAAGCUUAUUUUAUACUCCUCUAGUUCAGUAAUUAAUGUAGGAUAUAAAUUAAAGAUAUUAGUUAAAUUAAUUAA